rnacentral:rRNA from 1 species
GACGAGGGGUCCUAGCGUCGUUCGGAAUCAUUGGGCGUAAAGCGUGUGUAGGCGGUCUUGUAAGUCAGGUGUGAAAGCCCCGGGCUCAACCCGGGAAGUGCAUCUGAUACUGCUUGACUUGAGUACUGGAGAGGAUAGUGGAAUUCCUGGUGUAGUGGUGAAAUACGUAGAUAUCAGGAGGAACACCGGUGGCGAAGGCGGCUAUCUGGCCAUGUACUGACGCUGAGACACGAAAGCGUGGGGAGCAAACAGG